rnacentral:tRNA from 1 species
AAAAAGGUAAUUUAACGUAAAAUAUUUUGUUUCAAACAUAACCACAGGUAGUUAGUACCUCCUUUUUG